rnacentral:rRNA from 1 species
CCUACGGGAGGCAGCAGUGGGGAAUAUUGGGCAAUGGGGGCAAGUCUGACCCAGCAACGCCGCGUGAAUGAAGAAGGCUUUCGGGUUGUAAAGUUCUUUUCUCAGGGACGAAGAAAGUGACGGUACCUGAGGAAUAAGCCACGGCUAACUACGUGCCAGCAGCCGCGGUAAUACGUAGGUGGCAAGCGUUAUCCGGAUUGACUGGGUGUAAAGGGCGCGUAGGCGGGAGGGCAAGUCAGAUGCGAAAACUCAGGGCUCAACCCUGGAACUACAAUUGAAACUGUUGUUCUUGAGUGCUGGAGAGGCAAUCGGAAUUCCGUGUGUAGCGGUGGAAUGCGUAGAUAUACGGAGGAACACCAGUGGCGAAGGCGGAUUGCUGGACAGUAACUGACGCUGAGGCGCGAAAGCGUGGGGAGCAAACAGGAUUAGAUACCCCGGUAGUC